GUGCUGGGUAGGUUUGUUGUGUUUGAAUGAUAACGGUUCCUGUAGUAUUUGGAUUUUCAACCACCACUACAGCUGUUUGUUGCUGUGAAAGUAAGAUCAAAAUUAAUACCAUAAUAAUUGAUAAUAGUCAAGCCUGCAAUACACAAUAUGUAUACUAAGCAGUAUGUGCUUUAUGGUGCUUUCUUAUAUAAAAUGGUGGGAACUAGCAGUAAACUAGUGUGAGCUGCGUUGGUGUUUCUAAAGAUGAAACUGUUUUAAUUAUUGAUGUUUGUGAAUUNUGAUAAUCUGGAUGAUUUGUGCAACUGUUGUUGGUGACUGGUGACAGCUGUUAUUACAACAUUCCUAUCAUUUUACUUUUAACUGGCGAGGUUUUGGGAACUUACUGGGCUUGAUGAACAGCAUACAGAAAUGCAUCCAAUAAUGGAUCCAGCAAAUACAACAAUGGUGAGAAGCCCAUUGAUGAGCAAAAGACACAGGAAAAUGGCCUCAAUAGCACUGAUCCAGGAACAGUCUUCCACUAUGAAAUAAAGAUAUUUUAAUAUUAUUAAUUAUUAUUAAUUUAAAAAUAAAUUAUCAUUGAUUUAAUGUCAGAGUUGUUUUAGNCAGCCAUCAAGUAUCAACUGACAACCAGUUGGCUCAGUUGGUACAGCACUGGACUAUUGUGUUGUGUACUGAAGCUUUUAAAGUAAUUGAGGCCGGGAUGCUGUUGGGUUUGUUUCUCCGUCUGCAAAUGGUUAGACCAAUGAUUAAAAAGCUGGGCGUUAUACUGGAGGUCCCGUCUCUCUACACUUUUCUCUAUACUGCUUUGAGGGGAUGUUAGAGAGCCACUUAGGGCAUAAAAACACUGGUUGUGACCAGUUUUACUCUCUCUGCCCUUGGGUCUGCAGUUAUCGCACNUGANACCGCAACAAGAAUCUUCACAAGAAGGAGUUGGGGUUACAUGGAUAAAAAGAAGAAGAUAAUGCCUCACAUUCCCACUUUGUUAAACUGUGUGAUGUUAAAAUUAUGUGAGUUUAAGCAGUUAUAACACAUACAUUCCAAUGGAACUUUAUCAUUGCCACAAUCACAACGACCCCCUUUGAUUUUACACUUGGUUUCAAUGAUAGCUUUGAGGAUCUGCCAUAUCAGGAAAGCUAAUCCAGCAAAAACAGUUGCUACAAUGCAGCAAAUGGUAUCAAUGAUGCAGGAGACCAUGAAGGAGAUCAUCUAAAAAGUUUAAUAAAUUAAACUUAUCAAUCAGUCAAUCAUUCAACUAAUAUUAUUUUUCAUAUGGUGCCUAUCAAAGGUUUAUGCAUAUGAGAGGUGUCUGCCUAUGAAAGCUGUAUUCUUAUGGAAGGUGUAUGUUGUGGAAGUUGCCUUCAUAUGAGAGGUGUCUGCCUAUAAAAGCUGUAGCUUAUGGAAGGUGUAUGUUGUGGAAGUUGCCUUCAUAUGAGAGGUGUCUGCCUAUGGAAGGUGUAUGCUUAAAGCAACUUUCAGCUUAUGGAACGUGUCUGAUUAUUUCAUGUGCCUAGUUAAGGAAGGUGUCCCCUUUAUAGGAUAUAUCUACUUGUGUGAGAUGUGCACCUAUAAGAAAUGUAUUAUUGGUAAACACCCAUCAUCAGUAAUGUUAAUGGUUCUAUUUGCCUGGAAAUCAUAGAGUGGUGUGCUCAUGGAACUUACCAGGCAUUUGUUCUGUUUCACCCAUGUGAAAACUCCAAUCACUCCAGUUAUACCAAACUGUUGAAAAACCACAUCAGAUCAUUUUGCUGUGAGCAAUUAAAAACAAUUAAANAAUCUGUUGUUUUGCAUUCAACCAUACAAUUAGCAGGGAUUCAGNCUAUUUUAAUCGAUUGUAGAUAUAGAAUUUGCACUGUAGUGCCAAUCAGUGAGCACCAGACGCCCCCACCCCACCCCCGAAAAAAGAUAUAUGACUGAAUCUCAGUUUCCCACUCCUACAAAGUUCUCCAUAAGUCGUAAUAUUCGCUUCUCGAUUUUUCGGUUUGUCGCUCAAACUAGCGACUUAUCCGUCCGAGAGCAAAAAAAAAAAAAAAAAAAAAAAAAAAAA
rnacentral:lncRNA from 1 species